GGUUCUUCAGUGCGGGGAAGGAUGAGAAGCUUCGACCAAGGUUCGAUUCGAGCGUAGCGAGAAAAGCGUUGCCGCAGGCAACGACCCGAAGGGCGAAGCGCGAAGCGCUGAGUAAUCCUUCCCCCACCACCA
rnacentral:sRNA from 1 species